UUUUUCUUUUUUUAAUAAACCUAAGUCUGGCCGGGAACCACAUUUGUAGAUUCUAAAGGGUGUCUAACCCCUUCCCUUCGCAAUAAUUUGAAUCCUUACCUAGAAUCUAAAUUGGUUUCGUCAUACUCCCUCCGUUUCGAAAAGAAUUACCUACUUUGAUUUGGCACAAAGUUUAAGAAAAUAAAGAAAAUUUUUGAAUCUUGUAGCCUUAAAUUAAAGUAGUGUCAAAUGUAUCAAAAUGUCCUUUAAUCUUGUGGUCAUAAACAUGCCAUUUGGAAAGUUUAAAUUAAAGUAUUGCCAAAAAAUGAGAGGGGUCAUUCCUUUUUAAACGAACUAAAAAGGAAAGUAAGUCAUUUCUUUUUAAACGGAGGGAGUACUUGUUAAUAAAUAAAUAGGUUUCCUAUUUUUUCUUGAAAAUUAGGUGGCGACUCUGUUGACACCCAAUUUUGACAUCCCGAUAUCACUUUUAGGCUGUUAUUAUAUCAAAAUUAUUUAAUUUUAAUUAUCAAUAUUUUUAAAUAUUAUUCUUACAUUGAGUACAUACUAACGUGUCGCAUUUAUAAUUAAAGGAAAUGCAUAAAUUAUUUCUUAGCUUUUAGUAUCAUUGUCAUAAUUUUUAAACUCAAAUUCAGCAUUUUAUGUAAUUUUUAUUAAUAUUUAUUAAAUUAUUUUCCACGUGGUUAUACAC
rnacentral:lncRNA from 1 species